rnacentral:lncRNA from 1 species
CAGAGAGACCUAAAUGCAAGCCAAAUUUGCUGGCCCAGAAGUGUCAGGGUAGAAGCAAGUACAUUUGGUGGGUAAUCGUUUAUUACGGGGAUGUUUCAGAAUUACUCUAAUUCCUUGUGGUCUUUUGGGUUGGUGAUUUGCACUCUACUAGCCAGUGUGUUGGAUGACAAGUCUAAAAGACUAAAGGUCACAAGUUUCUGUUUCAGCCAGCCAAGAAAGAUAUUCUACGGUGUGAGUCAAGUAGCUUUUUGUGAAGUCAGAGGAGUCUUGUCCUGGGAAGACUGCCAAGACAGAGCAACCUGGUCAGAGAUGGAUGUCUAUACUGUAGCUUUUUUGGACUCCAACAGGUGAAUCACAGCUGCAGGGUCUUUGCCUGAACCUUACUCAGAAGAUUAGUAUUUUCCAGAUUUCAUUGUGGCUAGAAGCCAUGUUCCUCCAUUCUGAAGGAUCCCAGGAUGGAAUAUGAUUGUCUGGAUUUACCUUAUAACAUUGGAGUCUUCAUCUGAACUUUCCCUCAAGCUACUUUUGGUUGUCAACUACUUAUGACUGUAGUUCAAAGCUCUAUUAGCUCGGUCCCUGAUUCUUUCUGGAGUAUACCUGUGGACUGCAUCCCUUGAAUAUCACCUGAAUAGCUGGCAGUGACCUUAGUUAUCCUGUGUACGAGCAGCCUGCUUCCUGAACAUCAAUUCAUGAGAAAGUGAUGAAGUGUUUGAACAAUCAGCUAUAAAAUGUGGUGUAUCUUCUCUCUGGUCAGUUUUGAACUCACUGUUGAAUAACGGAGUGCACCAAGUCUCAGUGUUGAAAUUCUCCUUUGCUAAAUUCAGGCUGCUAAUAAGCUUCAAUGAAAAACACUGGAAAAUCAAGAUCUUUAAUGUUCCUACACACCCAGGAUAAAGGAGAAGCUGCUGAUAUAAGAAUAUGGGCUUGGACUGUUUGAAGACGUGUGAUGAGUCAGAAUCUGUACUUCUGCUGUUCUACAAGAACUGCUGCCGAAUGCUAAGUCUUGCCAACUGUGAAAUUGCUAUUUCUGCUUCAUAAUGUUUUCUAUCAAAACAGAAUGUAGAGAAAAGGUAAUAACUGGAUUUUUAGAACAAAUCAGACUGCUUGUCAGGACUUUUUCCUUUGGUCUCCAGCCAAAAGUCUCAAUUUAAAAAACUUCAGACUUUAUAUCAUCUCAACUGGCACAAAUGUUUUUAUUUUUCUCCAAUUCACACGAUAAUUUGAUUGAAUUGGUUGUACUACUCUUUUGACAAAAAGGGGCAUAUUCCUUUAAAAAUAUGCUUGCACAGUUAAGUCUUUUAUUUGGUAGAAGUAAUGGCUACUUCCAACAGUCUUAAAAGUAAAUUUAGGGUUUGAUUUUUUAGACUAUGGGAUUUUCAUAGUAAGGUUUUGGCAAUGGUGGGCUGCAGGGCCUACCAGCUGUCCCAUGUCAGAUCAGAGACUGCUCCAACUGCUCCAAAGGGACUCACUGUUGCCAGAGCUGAGCCAUGAGUGAUGCUGGGUGUGCUCUGGGGGAGCAGAUUUUAAAAAGCAAGAAAGAGACCAUGGCUAACAUGGAAUGUACAGAGUAUAUUUCUGUCAGUUAGACCUGUCUAAAAGCCUUACUGAGCAAAGUACUUGGGCUCUGUUAUCCAGUGUCUGACCAGUGAGUUUAUCAAGCCUGUUUAACUGCCCAAGUACUUUGGCUGAGGUGGGGUAUAGGGCAUCAAUUAGUUUUUGUAGUGUUUCAUGCUUUCUGAUACAUGCAUUUGCCCACUGCUUUGUGAAGACCAUCAAUCCAAUGAAGAACAGAAGGUAUAAGAGUCUGUUUCCUAUUUUAAGAAUUUUGUCCUCAGAAUCUGAAAUGCAACCAGUACUGCACAACAAAGGGACUGCUUUACCCCUCUCUGGUGCGGAUUCCACUCCGUGACAAUAUAUCAUAGUGAAAGUAACCUAUAACUCAGAUUUCCAGAGAUCUGCAUAGUGCAUCUAGUAGCUUUGAGCCUACUGAUGAGCAACGUAUCAUUGCCAGAAGAUUUCUGUGGAGAGGGAUUCUCAUUCCACUUUAAAAAUGAAAAGGUAAAUCAUAUACAGAUACUUAAAGGAAAGAGCAUUAAGCUAGCAAAAAUGAAUACUGAGCAACUAACAUAGGACACAGUAAAGCUUUCUUCAUAAGCCUAAUUCAUCCUGCUGUUCCUGUGCAUUGUCUUUUCCUCAGGUUUUCUACUCAUACAAUAUAAAACAUGGAUCUGAGUUAGUUAUGUUAAAAAAGUUAUUGUCUGUAGAGCUUGUCAAAGCCAAAAAAUAUAUGGUAAUUAAGGCAAAGGACUGUAAGAAGAGAUGUGGCACUGCUGAUGUGAAGGUGGUGGUAUGCUGUCAUGGAGAUAUGGACUCCUAGAGAAUAUGCCAAAGAGAUCAUCUACAGUGGCAGAAAAAUUGCUUCAACCAAGAUUUUUCAUAUUUGUCAUCUGCUUGAUCUCUCUACAUUUCUUAUUCCCAGAUCCAAGGUGAUUAUGAUCCACGAAUUCCAAAAGCUUUGGCACAAACAGCACC